rnacentral:lncRNA from 1 species
GUACCCCUACUAAACUAAACGACCCCAUUUCAUAUAAGCGAGUCGAUCUAAGCUGUUGAUUUGAGUUGAUCCAAUGGAUUGGAUUCAAUCUCCUAUCUAGUAUAUAUUCCUAAAUCCUACCCCACCCCCUUCAAACAAACCCCCUUUUUCUUUCUAUCGUCUCCAAGCUCAGAGACGACCCCUCCCCAAACCCUAGCAGCCCCCAGCCCUCUUCUUCGCCAUAAACCUGGCAGAACGAUGCUAGUGACCACCAAAAACACACCCCUGAACCCCCAGACCGUCCCCUCCAUGAAUCUACAAUCCUUUCUCCUCGAAUCAUUACCAAACGUCUCGAAUCUUCAUCUGAAGAAUCGGACCAACACCUUAGUUCACCCAAUCGCCCCCAAAUCAACACCCAACAUCCACCUGACUUCCCUCGUCCCUAAACCACAACAGAUUCCCUCGAAUCUCGUUGGAUUUUCUCAAAUCUUAGAUCGAAGUUUGACCCCAAACUCUAGUUUUUUCAAGCUCGAGGUUCAGUGGAUAGUUGAAGAUCUGUAGACCAAAUUGGACUUUAAUCGUGUGUUUUCACAUUGAAAACACACGAUUAAAGCCCGAUUUGGUCGAGAUCAAAGGAUCCAAGAAUGAGUUCACGAUGGGGUCCUUUUUGGCCCCAAAUCCAAAGGUUGGAGGUUCGAACCCGGUCCUCGUUUAAACUAGUAGGUUUCCGCUUAUUUCUCUUCUUUGUUAGUUUCAUUCAGUAAAUUCAUCUUAUACCCCUUUCUUUAGAAUCGAAUGCUUUGUGUUUGUUAUGUAUUUUGUUUCUUUUUUGUAUUGUUGUUUACGUCGAAUUAUUUAGUGUCCAUAAUGCUUUGUAUAAAACCACGGCUGCUCCUGUAAUUGUUUGAUGGUUAUUACUUGUUCAAAUUGGCCAAGUUUGCUCUUUGUUGUUCAUCAUUUGUUUGGUUCCUUGCUCAUUUUUGUUUGUCUAAGCUAAUUAGGAUUGGUUUCCCUGUGUCUAUGUGAAUCAGUUUGACUUUAGUAGUUCAAUAUAGGUUGCCUUGAAUCAUAGUUUUAUUUGGAUACUAUUUGGAACUAAUCUGAGUGCAAGUUCUGGAUGAUUUUGCUGAAUUGAAUCUCAAUGAUUGUCCUAUAUUGGAUUCGGUUUUGAUGUGCUUGUUAGGUAUCGGUUCAUGUGGCUAAGUAGUUAAUUGAUUAGCUGAAUUGGUUAUAGCUGAUAGGUUGUGUACAGAUUGAAGGGAUGGGGUUAGGAUAGGAAUUCCAGGCAACUCACGGGGUAAUUUAGGAUUUGAAAUGAGUUAGUAGUAUGUCAGUCGGAUAGACUAUUAAACUAAUUAAAAUUAACUAAAGUAAAAAAGGGAUCAAUUAGUGGAAGGGACGACUUUUAGAGCACCUUUAGAGAUUGGAAAUUAUAAAUAGUAGGUACUAAUGAAAAGCUAAAAGGGUUUACAUAGUGAGGGAUAUUAAAAAGCUGGAAAGAAAAAGAAACAUAGGGGUAAUAAUGAGAUAUCUUUCUUACAGUUGCAAAAGAAAAAGAGGGCUUGAAAAGGGGGUCUGCUUUGGGUAUAAAAUAGAGACAUUAAGAGGGACUGGAAGAGUCAGUAAGAGUGGAGAGAGUCAAAAACACAUUGAUAAGAAAAGAGUCGAGACCUUAGAUAGAUAUAGACACUGAGGAAGUUCUCAGCUCAGAAAUUCCCCCAGAAGUUGUCCCUCUUCGUUUUUUAGAUCGAAGUUUGAAUUCCAUCUUCCAAUAAACCAAAAACAAAUAAAAAAUCAAAAAAUUAAAAAAAAUCUCUAUUGUUUCAUUGAGAAACUGCAAUUUGAUCCUUAUUUCCAUCUAGCCUCUUCACAUUUCAUAGUUUCAGUUAAGUUUUGGGCUUAUUGAAGUAGUGUGGUGCUUUUCAUGUGUUUUAGUUUAAUGUGCUGGUUUAAUUUGAGUUCUGAGCCUUCCUGGGAUUUUCGGAUUCAUUCUCUAGGUUGUUUCCUAUUGUUCUUACUACUGGAAAUUGUACUUUGUUGUGGUUCCUGCUGAUUAAAAUUCUUCUCCUUCUUCUGGUUAAAAUUUCAUUUCCAGGUAUUCUCCUUGGCCUUGUAUGAACUACGAAGGAUCUACGUAAUUUGAUUUGAAGAUCAAAUGAAGAAAUGUGUUCGAAUUGGUUGCUGAAUUUAUUUGAUUUCUGUUUGGUUUCUAUAUGUGAAAUAGUCCUGUUUAGGUGAAUGUUGUACUCGUGAUUGAAGAGAACUUUUGUUAUAAUAGACAAGUGAUUAAUGGUUGUUAAUUGAAUUUUAGUUAUAGCCCUAUGAUGUGUAGUGACAGGACUGAAUCCAUGUGAUACUCGUAUUUGGAAAUUAGAAACUGAGUAAUAACAAUGGUUUAGAAUUGCUUGAAUCAAUUUGAAAACAUUUAGUUGCCUCAUGUUAUUAAGUCGUGUGUCCAGUUUGUUGUUCACCUUUAGUAAACGCUAUGAUUUGGCCAGUAGUUAAAAAGGUAGUUGAUCAAUACUUUCAUCGAUUCAAGUAAGGGAAUAUGGUCCUUCUUUGUUUUUUUAAUUGUUGAACACUUUGAAUAAUAUGAAGUAAGGUUAGUGGGUAAUUGUUCAAUUCAAAUUACUAUUUGGUCCAGCUAUUUGGGCUUAACAACCCUUUGGAUACGUGAAGGCUACAACUUUCUCCCGACGAGUAUCCCAAGUCAGUUACUCAUGCUCGUGCACGAUUUGGGCCUGGGUCGAAUUCUGUGAUGGCGUCGACAUGAAGGCAAUUUUCCUUAUCGGGCUUAUCUCGAAGCCCAAUGGCUGGCUUUGGGGCCAAAUUAUCAUUUGGUUUGUUUUAAUCCAGUAACAAAUUGAUUAGGACUCUUUCUUUUAUUUUGGAGACAAUAACAAUAGAAAAUCAUAGUCGCUUUUAGGUUUUCCCUUAUCUAUAAAAUAUGAUACAAGCCUUGCCGAAUAAAACGCACAAACUACGGGGCCCUCAUUAAGUGUAUAUACGAAAUACUUAGAUUUUGGGACGCGCGAAUUUCACGGUUUUUCCCAAAACAAUAAUACGCUAGUCACUGUAGGCGCGUACUUUAAUAACAUUACCUCCCUAAACUCGGGUGCACAUUUAUGUCACCCAAAUCCAAAUAUCAACGUGGUUCGAGAUGCGUUUUCACGCCGUUGCAAUUCUCUUUUAAAAAUAAUAAUAAUAAAAGCGGUUAAAAGCUGAAAUUUGCACAUAUGUUCAUAAUUGUUAAAAUCAGAUAAUUUAAGCCGAAUAUGACAGUUGAGCGACCGUGCUAGAACUACGGAACUCGGGAAUGCCUAAAACCUACACUUGGGUUAAUAGAAUUCCUUAUCCGGAUUUCUGGUGCGCGGAAUGUAAUACAGAGUCAUUCUUUUCCUCAAUUCGGGAUUCAGCCGGUGGCUUGGGACACCAUAAAUCUCCCAAGUGGCGACUCUGAAUUAAAUAAACUAAUCCCGUUCGAUUGUCCUUUAAUUUGGAAAACUCCUUUAUGCCCUUGCGGCCUGGGUAAAAAGGAGGUGUGACAGCUCUAGCGACUCUGCUGGGGAUGAAAAACCCAGAACUUCGGUUCAGGGUUUAAGAAUUCGAGUUUAGAGUACUUGUUAUGUUUGGCUUUAUCUGAUUUUCCUACAGUUUCAUGCUAAAUGUGCAAAAAUAAUGCUUUUUACCGCUUUGAUAUUAUUUGAACUGUACAUAUAACUGUGUCGAAACCUUCUCUUCUCACCUCCGGGGAUGUGCUCGCAGGUUGUGACUCCCUAUUCUGUUAGUGUCAUACCUUGAAAUAAAAGAGGCUCGGAUAAGUUACUAAGCCGGACGAUCUUGCGAGCCCCCAGUUUGUAGCCCCCUCCUCGACUUGAGUUGUCGGCUCAGGUACACAGUCUAGGACACAAACCCAGGUUCUGAAUUAGAAUAACUUGACUUCUUGCCGGAUCCCUAGUAGAAAUGUUUAUUUUGCAUCAUGUGCAUUUGACUUAGGGGACUUAACAGAGGGGUUGGGUCCGUCUAGGACAAGCAACCUGAAGUAAAAAGACCAUCCUGCUGCAUCUUGUUUGUUUUAUGCAUUUAUUUGCUUCGGACUGGCAUGCUGAUCGGCUUCUAAAAAUGGGAAAUGCUGGAAAAUUGUGAAAAAAAAAGAAAAAGAAAAAUAGUAGUGUAGAGAGAUAACUACUCAAUUUUAGAAAAACCAAUUCCUAAUUAGUGUCGAAACUCUGCCGAAUUUUGAGAAAAUGAAAAAAAGGUGUUUAUUUGAAAACAAAAGAGUCUUGUUUUAUUUUAGUUUAUUUUCUUUGCCCAAACUAUGCAUUUUUUAUUCUCACCGGAUGUGAGAUACGUAGGCAACCCUCAUCAGGUCCAACUUCCCCCCUCUUUUUUUGAAAAGAUAGCCAAAAAAUGUCAAAUUUUAAUAUUUCGUCAUAAAUAAGUCGGGUGAUGCCGCUCUUGUCGCAUAUAGCUGAAUGUUCCCGAAAGAGACGCCGGAAGGCUGACAUUGCAUAAACAGCCAUUUUUGGUCAUUUUUGGAUUUUUUAACUCACAGAGCCUUAAAAUCUUCGUCUUCGAGGUGCUCAAAGGUUGUGUUCAGAAAUCGAGUCUUUCAUUUGAAAUAUGGGGAAAAGGGAAAUUAGUCUUGUUUUCAGUAAAAUGAUGUUUUGCUUUUUUUGCUUAAUCACCUUAAUAAAAGUGCAGAAUGAGCACGAAUCAGAAUUCACCCGGAGCCCGUAUGAACAAAAUCCCUUUGGGAUUGCAUAUGUGGUGGAAUGACUUAGGAGAAUCAGGUCAAGACAUAGUCAAGUUAUACUUGGAAGGCCUUGUUGGGUUGCUGAAGAUUAAGAUGAGAGGGGAUAUCAUAUGUGCAUUAAUCCCAUUCUAGGACCCGGCACACAAUGCAUUUCACUUCUCAGAUUUUGAGCUUACACGGACAUUGGAUGAAAUAGCAGGGUACAUCGGGGGUCCCGAAAUUCCUUCGAGAAAACAAUAUUUGUUUGCUCCAAGGGCCGUAACCAUACAUAGGUUCUUAGACGCUUUGAAAAUGCGUAGAAUGGUUCACAACCCGGACUUAUCAGAGGGAUUUUGUCCUUGGUCAUUCAUAUAUGACAGAUAUGGUCAUAUCGGAGGGUUCAACAACCCUGCGAGCAAAAUUUGUAGCAAAGAAAACCGCCUGAAAUGGGAAGAGCAUAGGUGUAUUGCGUUUGUGGUGGCCUUCCUAGGGCUUCUGGUAUUUCCUAGAAAAGACGGUAAAAUUAAUAUGCAAGUCACCGGGGUCAUCACUAUUUUACUCACUCAUGAUAACAUCACUUUGGAACCGAUGAUAAUAGCCGACAUCUUUCGCGCUCUUACUGCUUGCAAAGCCGGAGGGGAUUUCUUUGAGGGUUGCAAUGUGUUACUACAAAUGUAGAUGAUCGAACACUUAUGUCAUCACCCUUAAUAUAUGAGCUAUGGGUCAUCGAAAAAGGCGUGUAUCGAAGAAUUUUCUACAAGUUUCCAAAAGGGGUCAACUAAUGGGUAGCACGCAUGUGUUCUGUCACCGCAAGCCAGAUAGAGUGGACAUUUGGGUGGCUAUCUUUGGACAAAGUCAUAUAUAUGUUAGCCACAGAAUCUCAUUUGCUAUUUAUGGGACUUAAAAGUAUUCAAUUGUACCGUACCGAGUCUUGAGGCAAUUGGGGAGGUGCCAAAUUGUCCCGAAGAAUGAAGAGCUUAGCAGCCGGGUAGUUGAAAUUGGGGCUAAUGGUCGAUUCCUUGAAGUAGUCGUUCGCGAAGUGUGGAACGAAUGUUAGUACUUAAAGUAGAUACUUGUAUGCGGGACCGGUCUAAAGGCGAAGUGUUGCCAUGAUAUAUUUCUUGGUAUGAGAGGGACCUUGAGUUCGAAAGGCCAGCUAAGAGGCCUCACCUCCAAGAUUUUGCGAAGUCAUCGCAAGAACAAUGAGCCUGGUUAGCUAAAGAAAAUGAGUACAGGGCCAAGAUAGGAAAAUUGGAGAAGCAUGUCCAAGACCUCAAGUUUGAAAAUACCGUGCAAGCUGCAGCUGAUGAGGGGGAUAAGAAGAAGUUAGCCCAAGAAAAUGAGGCGCUUAGGGCCCAAAUCCGACAAAUAAGGGAAGACGCUAACAACCAACGAAGGAGUCGAUCAGAUGAACGAUUGAUAAGGGCGUUGAAAAAGGAAAUCACCGAGUGCAGGGAGGAUAUGAAGAAGUCUAAGGGAAGCAUAGUACAACUCCAGGCACGAUGGGCAAAAAGAACAAAGGAGCGCACACAGUACUUGCAACAAGUGAGGAAGCAGUAUGAAAAGAUAAUUGCUAAUCCUAAAAAAAAGUGACCACCCUCGAGGACAAGUCAUCCAAGCAAGCCAAAGCAUUUGAAAUCGAAAGCGGACAUUGCUACGAUUUAUUGGAUCAAAUGGAAGAUGAAAUACAGCAGUUGUAAACGCAUCACCUCCGGGAUUCUCAGGUUUUGAAGGCCCGUGAUGAUCAGAUAAGGUGCUUACUCAUAGAAAAAUUUCGAACCAGAGACAAGAUUGAGACUAUUGCUCAUGCCAUCAUUAGAAGAUGCCGAUUGUGUGAAGACAUGACUCACACUACCUUAUUUUUUGUAGUAAUAAUUUUUGUUAAGCAGACAAUGUAUGAAUUGGAACAACUUAUAAUAAGCCUUGCACCUAAGCCCGCGGCGAGGCCGAACGACACCCCGCGGGCACCAAAAUUUAAAGCUUUGAAGUAGUCAUAAUUUGAAUCUGUAUCUUCUUUGUCUUUAGAGUGUGUCAUCCGUCGGAGUUUGUAUUCUCUUUAUUUAGAGCUUGGUGGUAGUUCUUGAGUCUGUAGUUUUAUUACAAGUCUGUUAUCUUCCUUUCAAAAAAUGGCUAGCUUUGUAAUAGAACGUUUUAGUAACAAAAAUGGAAAUUUUCCAAAAAUUAUUUCUUUAUUUUUCGCAUUUAUAGUCAGAACUACGCACGGUCUGAUUCAUUCGGGGACAUGAUACGUAGGCAAUCUAUAUAAGAUUCGACCACCACUAAAAAGAAAAAGAGAAGAAUAGAAAAAGAAAAAGAGAAAAUAAGAGACAAAUAAAGGAAAGAGGCACUUAAAAGAAGCCAGAAUGACUCAUGCUGUCAGAACAAAGACAUGAUAGAAAUGGUUAAACUGCCUAGGUAUAUUUCAUCCCCAACGUGCUAUUGCAAUAUUCGUUAAACUUUAACGCUAACGAAGUUUGUUGUUUCUCAGAGAUUUCAAACAGUUAGCUUGUUAGAACAUUCUGGUAGACUACCAUUAUCACAUAAGAUCUAAAGGUCCCAUUCCAAAAGGCAUGUCUGGUUAGGACAAAAGUAAUGAGGAGGAAAAGACGAAAAUGCAAACGAUGAAGGAGGAAGUAGACAGAUUGAGACAAGAGAUAGAUGGGAUGCACCUAGCAUGGGCUAGGGGACAACCAUCACCAAUCCCUCCCACUACUCCUACCCUCUCACUGGCUUAAACUCCGGAACACCCUCCCAGUGGUCUAUCGACAAGAUUCCCAACACACCAAUACUAUCAGGAGGAAACUACCUAUAAUCCCCAAGCUCCACCACCCAAAUAAAACCCUCCUCCACCAAUUGCUCCUGUUUUUGUGGCACCUCCACCCCCCACAUUGCAAAGAUCAUCCAGUGAGCUAGUGUUUCAGGCUCACGACAACCAAUACUAUCCUCCUGAAAUCACCUUCAAAGCACCCGAGCCAUACACUUACACCCCUCACUUUGCGCUCCCGACGGGAACUAAGAGGUCGACUAAGAAUUCGGAGCAAGAUGAAGUGCUUCGCAAAGUGAAAAGCCUGGAGAAGUCCUUCAGGAAUAUGCAUGGGUUGGGCCGCCAAGUCAGUGUGGCCUACAAAGAUCUGUGUCCCUUCCCCGAUGUUCAAUUGCCGGCAGGUUUUAAAAUGCCAAAGUUUGAUAUAUAUUAAGGACAUGGUGAUCCCAUGGCACAUAUGCGAGGUUUCUGUAGCAAGAUGAGAGGGGGAGAUGGAAAGGAUUAGCUGCUAAUAUCAUACUUUGGCCAAAGCUUGAGCAGAUCUGCGUUGGAAUGGUAUACGAGGCAGGAUCCCAGCAGGUGGUACACCUGGACGGUCUAGCACAAUCAUUUGCUGGUCAUUUCCAAUAUAAUCUUGAGAUCGUCCAUGAUCGCCUCACAUUGUUGAAACUUGAGAAGAAGCCUGGAGAGAGCUUUAGGGAAUUUGGAUUCCGUUGGAGGGAACAAGCGGCGAGAGUCGAUCCUCCAAUGAGGGAAGGUGAAAUGGUGGACUACUUCUUGCAGUCUUUGGAGCCAACUUAAUUUGGUCACCUGGUGACGUUAGUUGGUAAAUCUUUCAACGAGGUAGUAAAAAUGGGCGGUAUGAUUGAAGAGGGACUCAAGUACAAUAAAAUAAUGAGCUAUUCGGCGAUCAAGGCCACUACUUAGGCCAUCCAGAGCGGCAUGGGGGGUGCGCUCGGGAAGAAGAAGAAAGAAGGGUUCGCAACAGUCGAGGCAGGUAUUUGGUCCAGAUCCAGAAGUCCUUCACCCUACUACCGACCCACACCCACCAUCCAAAUUACACAUACACUCCAUAUGGACAUCCACCUCCCUACUACCCUCCACAAUAGCCACAUUUUUCUAUCCAUCACGCCCAAACAUUUGCUCAGCCUCCGGCUCACCCGCAAUGGCGUGCGCCGACUUCCCAAAGUACAUACCCACCCCCACAAAACACAUAUCCACACCCGAAGGCCUACACAAAUCCGUCAGGGCCAGGUUUUCCUGGGAAUCAAACUUUCAGGAAUGAGAGAGUGCAGAGGCGGAAAAUAUUUACUCCGCUGGGAGAAACCUAUACCAAGCUUUUCCACAAGUUAAGAUAUUUAGGCAUGUUGACUCCUAUUGAGACCAAAUUGCCAAAUCCCAUCCCUAGAAAUCUGGACCACUCAGUAAGUUGUGAAUACUGCUCGGGGGCUCCCAGACAUGAUACUGAGAAAUGUUGGAAAUUGAAGAUUGUCGUUCAAGAUCUUAUUGAUGCAAUUUGGAUCGAGUCCAGGCACCAAAGGCACCUAACAUCAAUCAGAACCCGUUCUCCAUGCACCAUGAGGCUCACAUGAUCGAACGAGCGCACGAGGAGGGGAUCUCAAGAAACCCUCACAAACAAUAAUGAUGGUUCGUGCCAGCCCAAAAGAAAAGUCGACCAGUGGAAAGGCAGCGAUACAUUUGGGAAGAGUAGAUGACAAGCCAGUUAUGGUGAUGGGGACAGGUCUCUCUGUUGUUGCAAAGAAGCCAGAGCCAGUCAAGGUAGUGCUGCAGUGAGUAUCAAGCACACCAGUGUUAGUCGUGGAGGGGGCCCACAUAGAACUAGUUGUUAUCAGGCCAGUAAUGUAGUUGCCGAUAACCAGUAAGAAAGUCAUGCCAUAGAGCUACAAUAAUCAAGUGAUGGUGAUGCAUAAAGGGAAGGAGGUUGUGGAAGAAGUAUGUGAGACCCAGGGGUUAACUCGUUCAGGAAGGUGUUUUGCUCCCGCAGAGUUAAGAAGGGCCAAUCUUGCAGCAAUAAAAAAACCAGUGACGGAGGAAUAGGUGGAUGAGUUUUUGAAGAAGAUGAAGGCACAAGAUUAGUACAUUGUGGAGCAAUUAAGGAAGACCCCGGCACGUAUCUCAUUGUUAUCAUUGUUGAUCCAUUCAGAUGAACACCGUCGGGCAUUGAUGAAAAUUCUGAACGAAGCCCAUGUUUUGAAUAAGAUCUUGUGAACCAUCUGGAGAAAAUAGCAAACAAAAUUGUUGAGGUAAAUCGAGUGACAUUUUUUGAUGAUGACUUGCCCAUGGAGGGUACAGAACAUAAUAGAGCUCUUUAUUUGACCGUGAAGUGUGAAGACUCGGCAGUCACUCGAGUACUGGUUGGUAAUAGGUCCAGUGCCAAUAUCUGUCCUUUGACCACCCUGAACAAAUUGAGGAUCGAUGGUGACAAAAUUCACAAGAACAACAUCUGCGUUUGAGGAUUUGGUGGUGGAGGUACAGACACAUUGGGUGACGUCAUACUUAAAUUAACAAUUGGUCCGGUCGAGUUCACCAUGGAGUUUUAAGUGUUAGACAUGGCAGUGUCAUAUAAUCUCCUGUUGGGGCGACCAUGGAUCCAUGCGGCAAAAGCGGUGCCUUCCACACUGCAUCAGGUGGUCAAAUUCAAGUGGGAUAGGCAAAAGAUCGUAAUACAGGGGAAAAAAAUACGUGCACCAUAAAUGAUGCCAUCGUACCUUUAUAGAGACUGAUGAUGACAAGGGACGAUAUGUUUACCAGGUUUUCGAUGUGGUUUUAGUGGACAAAGUUCCUGAGGUAAAAGCAUCCCACUUUCUAGAAUAAAAGCUGCAACUUUCAUGAUAGCCUCGGAGAUACUGAAUAAUGGGUUUGUGCCAGGAAAAGGUUUAGGGGUUGAUCUUCAUGGUACUGUUCAACCGGUUUUUUUGCCAAAGAAAUUGGAUACCUUUGGGCUGGGGUUCAAGCCUACAACGACGGAAGUAAGACGGGCCCGCAAGUUGAAGAAAAGAGUUUGGGUUCUUCCCAAGCCAAUUCCACGUCUCUCUAUGUCAUUUGUCAGGCCGAGCAUCAAAAAGCAAUUGUUGUCCAAGGUUACCGGGCCACUGAUUGGUGUAGAUGGGGAUUUGAAUGAAGGUUUUGAAAGGUUAUUCACCGAAGUCAACAUGGUAUAAGAUGGGGAUGGUUCCAUCAAGGCGGAUAUACUGUUUGUAGGGACAAAGGCAAAGAUCAAGAAUUGGAUGGCUACUCCUCUUCCUAUUCGAAGGGAGUCUCGGUAGUUGGCUCUGAUUUUCCUUCCUGUUUUCUAGAUUAUUCCAGGGUUGUAGUCCAGAUUUCUUUUAUUUUGUAUUCAUCAAAGUGUGAAACCUUGUUAUCCCGAAUUCAAUAAAAUGUAAGUUUCUUCUUUAUUCCUUAUCUUAUUUUAAUUUUGUUUUCUUCUUUUCUUUUUGUACAGUUCUCUUUAUACUUAUCUUAAUGACGUGGCAUGCACAAUGGAUCUUCAAUCUAGUCUAAAAAUCAAUCAGAUUCCGAACUAAUAAUGCAAGAGGUAGAUCAUGAUGAUGAGGCGGAAUACGAUGAGGAAGAGGCUUUCGAGGAAAUUAAUAGGGAAUUAAGUCAAUUCGAAGAAAAAUCAACCUAAAUGACACAGAAGCCGUCAAUCUAGGAGAUGCAGAUAAUGUCAAAGAAACAAAGAUAAGCAUCCACAUUGAACCAAACAUCAUGGAGGAAUUAAUCAAAAUACUUCUGGAAUUCAAAGAUGUUUUUGCAUGGUCGUAUGAUGACAUGCCGGGUUUAAGCACCGAUUUAGUGGUUCACAAAUUUCCCACUGACCCGGCAUGCCCUCCCAUCAAGCAAAAACUGAGGAAGUUUAAAAUCGACAUGAGUUUGAAGAUUAAGGAAGAAGUGACCAAGCAGUUGAAUGCAAAGGUUAUUCGGUUCACUCGAUAUACCACUUGGUUGGCUAUUGUGGUACCAAUGCCGAAGAAACAUGGAAAAAUCAGGGUAUGUGUUGAUUAUCGCAAUCCGAACAGAGCAAGCCCAAAAUAUAACUUUCCAUUACCCAACAUCCAUAUUUUGAUCAAUAAUUGUUCCGGACGUGAGAUCUGAUCAUUUGUGGAUUGCUAUGCAGGGUAUCAUCAGAUUCUAAUGGAUGAGGAGGAUGCAGAAAAGAUGGCUUUUAUUACGCUGCGGGGAACUUAUUGCUAUCGGGUAAUGCCAUUUGAGCUGAAGAAUGCUCGGGCAAUAUACAUAAGGUCAAUGAGUACUAUGUUUCACGACAUGAUACACAAAGAGAUUGAGGUGUAAAUGGAUGAUGUGAUCAUAAUAUCCAAGCAUCAGGAAGACCACGUAGGAGACCUAAGGAAGUUUUUUCAGAGACUUCGAAGGUACAAUAUUAAGCUCAACACUGCCAAGUGUGCAUUCGGUGUUCCAUCUGGAAAGUUGUUGGGAUUCAUAGUCAGUCGGCGAGGCAUUGAGCUGGACCCAUCAAAGAUCAAAUCCAUCCAAGAAUUGCCACCACCAAAGAAGAAAACAGAAGUAAUGAGUCUGUUGGAAAGGUUGAAUUAUAUCAACAGGUUUAUCGCUCAACUAACGGCGACUUGUGAACCCAUUUUUCUUCUAUUGAAGAAAGACGCUCCGGUAGAAUGGACCGAAGAAUGUCAGGAGGCGUUUGACCAGAUCAAGGGGUAUUUAUCAAAUCUACCUGUGUUGGUUCCACCUGAGCCAGGAAGACAACUGAUUCUUUAUCUAGUGGUCCUAGAGAAUUCAUUUGGUGUUGUACUGGGGCAACACGACAUCACAGGAAGGAAGGAGCAAGCCAUCUAUUAUCUCAGCAAGAAUUUUACAGUUUAUGAGGUCAAGUACACUAAACUUGAGAAGACAUGUUGCGCCCUAACUUGGGCGGCGCAGAAAUUGAAGUGUUAUAUGUCAUCUUAUACUACUUACCUCAUUUCACGCUGGAUCAAAUGAAGUAUAUUUUUCAGAUGCCUAUGACCACAGGGAGAUUGGAAAAAUGGAAAAUAUUACUCACGGAAUUUGAUAUCAUCUAUGUGACGAGGACGGCGAUGAAAUCCCAAGCAUUGGCCGAUCACUUGGCCGAGAAUCCGGUCGAUGAAGAAUACGAGUCAUUGAGGAUGUAUUUUCCUGAUGAAGAGGUGAUGCAUGUCGAUGAUUUAGAGUUAAUUGAGGAACCAUGAUGGAAGCUCUUCUUUGAUGGAGCUGCAAAUGAGAAAGGAGUUGGAAUUGGGUGGUACUUAUCUCCGAAACAGGACAUCAUUAUCAUGUUACGGCUCAGUUGUGUUUCAAUUGUACCAAUAACAUGGCUGAGUAUGAGACAUGUAUUUUGGGCUUACGGUUGGUUGUGGACAUAGAUAUCCAGGACGUUUUGGUCUUGGGAGACUCGGACCUCCUGGUGCAUCAAAUUCAAGGAGAAUGGGAAACACAGAAUUUGAAGCUCAUACCAUAUCGACAAUGUUUGCACGGUUUGUGUCAAAAUUUUAAAACAGUCGAGUUUAGGCACAUCCCAAGAGUUCAUAAUGAGGUUGACGAUGCUUUGGCCACCUUAUCAUCAAUGUUUCACCACCCAGACAAAAUUCAUGUCGACUUGUUGCAUAUUCAGGUUCGUGAUCAGCAUGCUUAUUGUAACAUGAUAGUGGAAGAAAUGGAUGGCAAGCCUUGGUUCUAUGACGUCAAGGAGUACCUCUGGAUGGGGAUAUACCCAGAGCAGGCCACUGGAGAUCAAAAGAGAGCCAUUCAGCGAUUGGCAAAUGUAUUUUUCCUCAGCGAAGGAGUGUUGUACAAAAAACACCGGACUUGGGGUUGCUGAGAUGUAUAGAUGCUAGUCAAGCCACGAAAGUUAUGGCAGAAGUGCAUUCUGGAUUUUUUGGGCCACAUAUGAGCGGAUAUGUAUUGGAGAAGAAGAUUCUUCAAGCAGGGUAUUAUUGGCUCACUAUGGAGUGUGAUUUGUAUCAGUUUCGUGUGAAAAUGCCAUCAAUGCCAGAUACACGGAGAUCUGAUUCAUUUUCCGCCAACAGAAUUGCACAUGGGCCAUGGAUUUUAUUGGACCUAUCGAACCGGCAACUUCCAAUGUUUAUAGGUUGAGGCUAAAACUUUCGAGUCGGUAACCAAUAGAGCAGUGGUGGAUUUUGUUCAUUCCCAUAUCAUCUGUAGAUUUGGGAUCCCAAAGGUGAUCAUCACGGAUAAUGGUGCUAAUCUUAACAGUAGUUUGAUGAAAGAACUAUGUCCAAGAUUACAUACCAUAAUUCCAUCGCGUAUCGGCCCAAGGCGAAUGGAGCGGUUGAUGCAACCAACAAGAACAUAAAGAAGAUAUUGAGGAAGAUGGUAGAAGGGUCCAGUGGAAAAUGCCAUCAAUGCCAGAUACACGGAGAUCUGAUUCAUUUUCCGCCAACAGAAUUGCACAUGGGCCAUGGAUUUUAUUGGACCUAUCGAACCGGCAACUUCCAAUGUUUAUAGGUUGAGGCUAAAACUUUCGAGUCGGUAACCAAUAGAGCAGUGGUGGAUUUUGUUCAUUCCCAUAUCAUCUGUAGAUUUGGGAUCCCAAAGGUGAUCAUCACAGACAAUGGUGCUAUUCUUAACGGCAUUUUGAUGAAGGAAGUAUGUCAACAGUUUAGGAUUACACACCAAAAUUCCAACCCGUAUCGUCCCAAGGCAAAUGGAGCAGUUGAGGCAACCAACAAGAAUAUCAAGAAAAUAUUGAGGAAAAUGGUGGAAGGAUCCAGACAAUGACAUGAAAAGUUACCAUUUGCAUUGUUGGGUUAUCGCACUAUUAUUCGUACUUCAGUAGGUGUAACUCCUUAUUUGUUGGUAUAUGGAACUGAAGCAGUAAUACCAGCGGAGGUUGAAAUUCCAUCUCUCCAAAUUGUCGCUGAGGCUGAGAUUGAUGAUGAUGAGUGGGUCAAAACCCAAUUGGGACAAUUGAGCAUGAUUGAUGGAAAGAGAUUAGCAGCGGUAUAUCAUGGCCAAUUGUAUCAAAAAAGAUUGCAAGAGCAUUCAAUACGAAGGUGCGUCCUAGGAAGUUUGAAGUGGGGCAGCAAGUAUUGAAAUGAAUCCUUCCACAUCAGGCCGAAAGAAAGGGCAAGUUCGCCCUGAAUUGGCAUAGGACAUUCAUUGUGACCAGGGUGUUAUCCAAUGGCGCUUUAUGUUUGAGAGAUGUUGAAGGAAUAUGUGUUGACAUGUCUAUCAAUUCUGUCACAAUCAAGAGAUAUUAUGUAUGAUUUCUUUGAUUGUAAUUGUUGUUUGUUUGUAUUUGGCAUUGUAUUGGAGAAUGAAAUGACAUAGGCAAUUUGUUUCUUCUAUCCAAACACUUUAACCUUUACCUCCCCUUUUAAUCCUUAUUUAUUCUUUCAUACCUCUCUUUUGGAAUCAGUAAUGAAAAUGAAAAGAAAAAAAAGAGAAAAGAAAAAAAUAUAUAAACGAAAGAAAAGUCACAAAAAAACAAAGGAAUUAAGUGAACUACGUUCUACCUGAUUACUCAAAGAGGAUACGUAGGCGCCUCACGGCUCGGUCAUAGUGUAACAAAAAAUCAAAAAUCCCCAAGCAAGAAAACUGGGGCAGAAGUUGUAUUUGUAAUUUGGGGAAAGAAGUUUGAUUCCAAGAGUUGUAAUAUUUUACCCAUCAAAAUCAUUUUGAACUUUUGAUACCUUUUUCUUUUAGCCAUACACAAAAACCCAUAUUGAUAUCCAAAAGACCUCCCGAUCGGUAUCCGAGAAGUGCCAAGUCAGGCGAAUGGAAGUCAGGAAUAACACUCUAAUCUCUAGCAUAAAAAGGAUUAUAAGCUGAAAAGAAUUGAUAGCCACAAGAAUCCCCAGCAGAGAUAGUCAUAUCUGUAAUACACCAAUCCCCAGCUGAAAAAAUAAAAUGAGAGAGUCUUAUCAAUGAAAACCUUCACAGGCACCAUAAGGCGACGGAAGUUGAGAGAAAUAAAAUGAAAGUCUUAUUGGUGAAAACCUUCACAGGCACCAUAAGGCGACGGAAAUAUGGAGAAAUGAGAGAGUAUUAUCAGUAAAAACCCCUCGAAGAACACUAUGAGGCGACCAUGAGUUAAAAAGGGACAAACAAGAUAAGAUUGACGGAAAGGAUCCGUCGAGGAAUCAAGCAGAACAAGAUGUUGGUUCGGUAAAAAAGUUGGGUUACGGGGCCUUUGAAAUGUAAAGUAAGGCCAUUAGAAAGAUUGAUUUAUAAAUAGGUUGGUUUGAGACAUCCAGAAUGCACAACAUGAUCAUUGGGAUAAGUUCAGAUAAGUUCUUUUCCUUUUUCUUAUCCCCAACAGUUGUUCAGAAAAACUGUUCUUUUUUUAUCUUUUGAAGUCAUCAUUUUUCAUUUUUUAUUGUUUAAAAGAUCUUUUUUCAAUAGUAGUUUGUUUUUUGAGAAGGGUUUUCAGAGCUUACUACCAUUUUCCAAUAUGGUACAAAGCAAAAAUGUGGAUAGGAUAGGCCGAAGAUAAUGCAAUGGAAUGAGAAAGACGUCCGUUGCAAGACCAAAUGAUGGAUUGGUCUAAGAUUUUGGGGAAAGUAUGGAGAAAAGUGGAAAACAACAAUUGGUGAACAAAGAAUCGUCACGAAACAGGAGCAUCCCUGGCAGGAAUAUCAUCCCCAGCAAAUAAUCUCAUCCCCGGCAAGCUUUGAUUGUGUAAUGGAACACAAAGCUGGGAAAGGCGAAAGGGAAAAACCAUCCCCAGCAGGAUUGGCAUGACCAUUCACCACGUUUAAACUAACAAAAUAUUCUUUGAUUUGAAGCAGGGAAAGGAAAUGUUAUUGAUGGCGGAAAGACAUGCCACAAAGAAGAUUAUCAAACUGGGGCAGAAAACUUUCUCUCAUUGUGAAAAUUUUCUUGAAAUCAGGUACCCACUUGGGGAAGAUGGAAGAUAACACAAGUUUGGAGGAAGUGGAAUCCCCAGUAGUUUACGGAAGAAGGCAAUACAAGUUUUAAAGAAAGCAAUUUCGGGAGGAAGAUAACACAAGUCUUGAGGGAAGUAGUCUUUGAAGGAGGAGAAUAACAUAUUUUUGAAGGAAACAUCGGUGUUAACCCCGACAGUUUUCAAGGGAAUGGAACACCAAUUUUGAGGAAAGUAGUUCUGAAGGGAGAUAAUUCAAGUGAGAGGGAAAAUGGGUCAGGAGGCAGGAAGGAAAAACGGCAACAAAACGCAUUUUUGAGAAGUUGAAGUUGAAGUCAGGAGCCCGCAUGGAGAAUGGAGGUUGUAUUAUCUUUAAAGUGUAGUUGAAGUCAGGAGCCCGCCUGGAGAAUGGAGGUAUUAUAUUUUUAAGAAGUUGCUGAAGUCAAGAGCCCGCCUGGAUAAUGGAGGUAUUAUAUUUUUAUAAAGUUGUUGAAGUCAGGAGCCCGCCUGGAGAAUGGAGGUGUUAUAUCUUUAAGUUGUAGUUGAAGUCAGGAACCCGCCUGGAGAAUGGAGGUGUUAUCUUUUUAUGUUGUAAUAGAAGUCAGGAGCCCGCCUGGAGAAUGGAGGUGUUAUAUUUUAAGAAGUUGUUGAAGUCAGGAGCCCGCCUGGAGAAUGGAGGUGUUAUAUUUUUAAGUCGUAACUGAAGUCAGGAGCCCGCCUGGAGAAUGGAGGUGUUAUAUUUUUAAGUUGUUAUCGAAGUCAGGAGCCCAGAUGGAGAAUGGAGGUUGUUAUAUUCAAGUUGUAGUUGAAGUCAGGAGCCCGCCUGGAGAAUGGAGGUUGUCAUAUUUUAAGUAGUCGAAGUUAGGAGCCUACCUGGAGAACAGAGUAAUACAUUCAAGUUUUAAAAUGAAGAGCCCACCUGGAGAAUGGAUGUAUUAAAUUUUUAAGUAGUAGAAGUUAAGAGCCCGCCUAGAGAAUGGAUGUAUUAAAUAUUUAAGUAGUUGAAGUCAAGAGCUCGCCUAGAGAAUGGAGAUUAUUAAAUUUUAAGUUGUAGUUGAAGUCAGGAGUCCGCCUAGAUAGCAGAGACAUGCAUUUCGAAUUUCAGUAGUCAGGAGUCCGCAUGGAGAACAGAGACAUACAAUUUACGUUGCGUUAUUAUUUCAAGUCGCUCGUAUCGGCUCACUUUAUCUUUGCAGGAAAACUCUUCAUGUUUUUGGACAAAGGGGGCCAGUUGUGAGCACGUAAUUUUUUCCCUAUGUAUGAAUUACUCCCAAAAAAUUCAAAAUAAAACAAUUUUUUGUUUGUUUGUAAUUGUUUUAAAUUUUGUGUUAUUUUUCUUGUAUUGUUUGUAUUUGUCUGUGCAUGUUUAUUUGUUAAAUUAAUAAAAAUAAAAAAGUAUGUCGCGUUUGCAUUUAGGAUUUAAGUUUACAAUUAUUAGUAAUUAAGUUUGUUUCACUAAAAUGGAAAAAUCACAAAAUAAUAAUGUACUUCACAUUUCUAGAAUUUAAUGUCCAAAUUGUGUGAUUUUACUUUUUAAUUGGUGUUUAAUUUUGUUAGAUAAUUAUUAUUAGGAGUUAAUUAGAAUUUUUAGUUAAUUUUGAUUUUAUGAUUUAAUCUAGGAUUUUAUUUUUGGUUUUAACAAUUAGAAAAUAAAAGAUAAAGAAAUUGGACAAAAAAUCGAAACUGGGAUGUUUUAUUCGACCAAAAUCAGGCCCAAAUCGACGCAUGUUACCCUAUCCAAUCGACAUGGCAAUACAACGCCCAAACGACAUCUAUAUGUCAUGUCCUUCCUGAACCGUUGGAUCUCGCAUAUCCAACGGUCGAGAUCAUCUUUCCAGCCCCGACCCGUUUUCCCGGACCGAUCCAGUACCCCUACUAAACUAUCGACCCCAUUUCAUAUAAGCGAGUCGAUCCAAGCGUUGAUCUGAGUUGAUCCAACGGCUUGGAUUCAAUCUCCUAUCUAGUAUAUAUUCCUAAAUCCUACCCCCACCCCCUUCAAACAAAGAGAAAACUCGGAACUGGGCUGUCCCAAACAGCCCUUGAAUCAGGCCCAAAAUGUUUUAACCCGGUCCAAUUGACCAGACCUCUCAGAUGUCCAAAACGACGUCAUGCCAUGGCCAAGAGAUCUCAACAGUUGGAUCUCACAUAUCCAACGACUGAAAUCAUCUCUCCAACCCCGACCCGAUUUUCCCGGACCGACCCAGUACCCCUACUAAAUCAAAAAACCCCGUUUUAUGUAAGUAAGUUGAUCCAAGCCGUUGAUCUAAAUUGAUCCAAUGAUUUGGAUUCACUAUCCUAACUGGAAUAUAUUCCUAAAUCCUAUCCCACCCCCUUCAAACGAACCCCCAUUUUUCUCUGUAUCGUCUCCAAGAUCAGAGACGACCCCUCCCCAAACCCUAGCAGCCGCCACCCCUCCCCUUCACCAUAAACCCGGCAGAAAUGAUUCUAGUGACCACCAAAAACACACCCAUGAACCCCCAGACCAUCCCAUCUAUGAAUCCACAGCCCUUUCUUCUCGAAUUAUUACCAAACGUCUCGAAUCUUCAUCUGAAGAAUCGUACCAAAAACUUAGUUCACCCAAUCUCCCCCAAAUCAAAACCCAACGUCCACCUGCCUUCCCUCGUCCCUAAACCAUCAACAGAUUCCCUCGAAUCUCGUUAAAUUUUCUCUAAUCUUAGAUCAAAGUUUGACCCCAAACCCUAGUUCUUUCAAGCUUGAGGUUCAGUGGACAGUUGAAGAUCUGUAGACCAAAUUGGAUUUUAAUCGUGUGUUUUCACAUUGAAAACACACGAUUAAAGUCCGCUUUGGUCCAGAUCAAAGGAUCCAAGAAUGAGUUCACGAUGGGGUCCGUUUUGGCCCCAAAUCCAAAGGUUGGAGGUUCGAACCGGAUCCUCAUUAAAACUGUAGGUUUCCGCUUAUUUCUCUUCUCUGUUAGUUUUGUUGAGUAAAUUCAUCUUCUACCCCUUUCUUUAGAAUCGAAUGCUUUGUGUUUGUUCUAUAUUUUGUUUCUUUUUUUUAUUAUUUUUUACAUCGAAUUAUUCAGCGUCCAUAAUGCUUUGUAUAAAACCACAACUACUGCUGUAAUUAUUUAAUGGUUAUUACUUGUUCAAAUUGGCCAAGUUUGCUCUUUGUUGUUCAUCAUUUGUUAGGUUCCUUCCUCAUUUAUAUUUGUCUAAGCUAAUUAGGAUUAGUUUCCAAUAUGGUUAGCUUAUUCUCUAUGUCUGUGUGAAUCAGCUUGACUUUAAUAGUUCAAUACAGGUUGCCUUGAAUCAGUCGUUUUAUUUGGAUACUAUUUGUAACUAAUCUGAGUGCAAGUUCUAGCUGAUUUUGCUGAAUUGAAUCUCAAUUAUUGUCCUGUAUUGGAUUCGGUUUUGAUGUGCUUGUUAGGUAUCGGUUCAUCUUGCUUGGUAGUUAAUUGAUUAGCUGAAUUGGUUAUAGCUGAUAGGUUGUGUACAAAUUCAAGGGAUGGAAUUAGGAUAGGAAUUCCAGGCAACUCAAGGGGUAAUUUGGUAUUCGAAAUGAGUUAGUAGUCUGUCAGUAGGAUAGGCAUUAAACUAAUUCAAAUUAACUAAAGUAAAAAAGGGAUCAGUUAGUGGAAGGGACAGCUUUUAGAGCAUCUUUAGAGAUUGGAAAUUAUAAAUAGUAGGUAAUAAUGAAAAGCUAAAAAGGUUCACAUAGGGAGGUAUAUUAAAAAGCUGGAAAGAAAAAGAAACAUAGGGGUAAUAAUGAGAGAUCCUUCUUACAGCUGUAAAAAAAGAGGGGGGGCGGCACGAAAGGGGGUCUGCUUUGGGUAUAAAUUAGAGAUGAGUAGAGAUAUUAAGAGGAACUUGAAGAGGCAGUAAGAGUGGGGAGAGUAAAAAACACAUAAAAAAGAAAGGAGUCCAGACCUUAGAUAGAUAUAGACACUAAGGAAGUUCUCAGCUCAGGAAUUCCCCCAGAAGCUCUCCCUCUUCAUUUUUUUUAAAUCUAAGUUUGAAUUCCAUCUUCCAAAACACCAAAAACAAAUAAAAAAUCAAAAAAAUCUCUACUGUUUCAUUGAGAAACUGCAAUCUGAUCCUUAUUUCCAUCUAGCCUCUUCACAUUUUGUAGUUUUAGUUGAGUUUUGGGCUUAUUGAAGUAGUGUGGUGAUGUUCAAGUGUUUUAGUUUAAUCUGCUGGUUUAAUUUGAGUUUUGAUCCUUCCUGGGAUUUUAUGUAUUCAUUCUCUGGGCUGUUUCCUAUUGUUCUUACUACUGGAAAUUGUACUUUGUUAUGAUUGCUGCUGAUUAUUUGCCAUAGCUGACUUCUUCUCCUUCUUCUGAUUAAAAUUCCAUUUCCAUGUAUUGUCCUUGUAUGAACUACGAAGGAUCCAUGUAAUUGGAUUUGAAGAUCAAAUGAAGAAAUUUGUUCGAAUUGGUUGCUAGAAUUUAUUUGAUUUAUGUUUGGUUUCUAUAUGUGAAAUAGUCCUUUUUAGGUGAAUGUUGUACUCGUGAUUGAAGAGAAUUUUUGUUAUAAUAGACAAGUGAUAAUGGCUGUUAAUUGAAUUUUAGCUAUAGAAACGGAGUAGUAACAAUGGUUUAGAGUAGCUUGAAUCAAUUUGAAAACAUUCAGUUUCCUUACGUAAUUAAGUCGUGUGUCUAGUUUGUUAUUCACCUUUGGUAAACGCUAUGAUUUGGCCAGUAGUUAAACAGGUAGUUGAUCAAUACUUUCAUCGAUUCAACUAAGGGAAUAUGGUCCUUCAAAUGUGAAGGCUACAACUUUCUCCCAAUGAGUAGCCCAGGCCCGUUACUCAUGCUCGUGCACGUUUGGCGUGGGACGAAUCCUGUGAUUGGCCAAUUUGUGGCAUCGACAUGAAGGCAAUUUUCCUCAUGGGCUUAUCUUGAAGCCCAACGGCUAGCUUUGGGGUUAUCAUUUGGUUUGUUUUAAUCCAGUAACAAAUUGAUUACGACUCUUUCUUUUAUUUUAGAGACAAUAAAAAUAGCAAAUCAUAAUCGCUUUUAGGUUUGCCCUUUUCAAUAAAAUAUGAGACGAGCCUCAUCGAAUAAAAUGCACAAACUACGGGGCCCUCUUAAGUGUAUAACAAAAUACUUAGAUUUCGGUAUGGACCGUUUAGCGAAUUUCACGGUCUUCCCCAAAAUAAUAACGUGCUAGUCACUUUAGGCACGUGCUCUCCCUAAACUCGGGUGCACAUUUAUGUCACCCAAAUCUAAAUCUAAAUGGAGUUUAGAUGUGUCAAUAACCACGGGUGCAUUGAUGUGACGUGGUUCGAGACGCAUUUUCAUGACGUUGUAAUUCUCUUUUUUUAAAAAAUAAUAAAAGCGGUUAAAAGCUAAAAUUUGCACAUAUGUUCAUAAUUGUUAAAAUCAGAUAAUUUAAGUCGAAUAUGACAGUUGAGCAAUUGUGCUAGAACCACGGAACUUGGGAAUGCCUAACAUCUUCUUCCGGGUUAACAGAAUUCCUUAUCCGUAUUUUUGGUGCGCGGACUAUAAUACAGAUUCAUUCUUUUCCUUGAUUCGGGAUUAACCGGUGGCUUGGGACACCAUAAAUCUCCCAAGUGGCGACUCUGAAUUAAAUAAACUAAUCUCGUUUCGAUUGUCCUUUAAUUGGAAAAACUCCUUUACGCCCUUACGGCCUAGGUAAAAAGGAGGUGUGACAACAAUAUCCUCUAUUUAUUUAUUUAUUUAUUUAUUUCAAACUACGCCAAACACCCAAAUAGCAGGGUGUCUAAGGUUAACAACCUAUACAUGGCCCUCACAACGGGAAUAACUCACAAUAGUCGGCAUAUUACACCCCACACAAGCUCCAUCAAGUGGUUCACGCCGAACACUACACCACCACAACCUAACGGGGGAACAAAGUACCCCAAAAUAUCAUAACAAACCUCAAAUUUUCGGCCAAAAAAGGGCCCCUCCACCAGACUUUACCACAAAAAUUGUUUCUAGGCCUCCAAACAUUCUCAAACUCCCUCACAAGUGAAUCACCAUGAAAACCCAUCUAUUUAAGCAUCAUUCAUGUCCAAAAAUGCAAACAAAUAGAAAAAAACAGAAAAAGGAACAAAAUCACAAAAAUUGACACUAAAAUACUACCUAGGGUUGGAUUACACUAACUUAGGCUACAUUACACUAAUUAGAUAAAGAAAUAAAAAGAAAAUAAAAAAGGGGGUGGUGGGUUGUGGCGAGAAGGAGUUGGGGAAGACAACAAUGGAGUUUUGGUGAGAGAGAGAGAGGAGAAAAGAUAUGAGGAUUUUGGGGGGUGGGCUGGUGUCAGGGGGAAUGAAGGGGUUUGGGUUAGUUAAGGGUUUGGUUUAAUUAAAAGGGGGUGAAAAAAAAAGAAAAAAAAAA